rnacentral:tRNA from 1 species
GGAGGGAUGCCGGAGCGGUCGAACGGGGCGGUCUCGAAAACCGUUGUGCGUGCAAACGUACCGUGGGUUCGAAUCCCACUUCCUCCGCCA